UACAGAGGGUGCAAGCGUUGUUCGGAAUUAUUGGGCGUAAAGGGAGUGUAGGCGGCUUGUUAAGUCUUCUGUGAAAGCUACGGGCUUAGCCUGUAAAGUGCAGAGGAAACUGGCGAGCUUGAGUGUCGGAGAGGGUAGCGGAAUUCCCGGUGUAGCGGUGAAAUGCGCAGAUAUCGGGAAGAACACCCGUGGCGAAGGCGGCUCUCUGGGACGGUACUGACGCUGAGACGCGAAAGCGUGGGGAGCAAACAGG
rnacentral:rRNA from 1 species